GUGUUUCUCAGGUCCAUGCUUACCUCCAGUGUUGGAGAUUAGAGAAAAUAUAGUUAUCUUAGUUACAGCUGGACUGGGAAAGCAGUGAGGUUGACACAUAAUGGAACCCCAGAUAGCUGGCAAAGCCUAAUUUCUGGGGUGUUUGCAAGAGUGUUUCUGGAAGACAUUAGCAUGUGAAUCUGUAGAUGGAGUAAAGAAGGUCACCCUCCCUGAUGUGGGUGGGCAUCAUCCAACCCAUUGAGGUCUGAAUAGAACAAGACGGUGUAAGAAGGAAAAAUUUGCUCUCUGCUUGAGCUGAGAUGUCCAUUUUCUUCUGCCCUUUAGAAUAGGCAUUCCUGGUUCUUGGGCCUUUGGAUAUGGACCUGGACUUAUCCCAUUGGCUGCCCUGAAUCUCAGGCCUUUGGGUUUGGACUAAAACGAUAGCACUGGCUUACCUGGACCUCCAGUUUGUAGAAAGCAGAUACCCUUCUCAGCCUCCAUAAUCAGAUGUGUUCCCAAGAGAUGAUUCAUCAACAUGAGACUACCAACAGAAGUUCAUAGCCAGGACCUAAUGUUCUGGAUAAACCCACAGGAUUACACUGAGAAGUGAGUAAAAGGAAUUUACUGCCUAUAUCUUCUUCUCCCCCAUCCCCUGGCCCAAAAUAGUAAAUCUCACAUAAUUUUAAUGGAACCUUAAAAUUCUUUAAGUUAAAAUUUAAAUUCAUAUAAAACUUCCUAUCAUAUUUCUUUAGAAUUUCAUAGAAUUUUUCUAUUAAUCUAUUCCCAAGUGAGAUACUACAAUGUUGCUUUUAAUUUUGAAUUUCCCAUGAGGUAAUAAAUAAGUUGAGAAUCUUCUUUUUUUUGCCCUAGUUAUGAAAGUAAAGCACAGGGUGUAAUCUUAGCUGCUGUUCUUUCAUUAUUUGGAAACUCUGUUCUUGGAAACAGCUAGCCUUUUGUGCCAGGGGACAUAUUCCUAAUUAUUUCAUAGAAUAAUUUGAUGUCACAUUUAGCCAGGGAUAAUUUCUUAUAGUCAUGAUUUGAUCAGAUGAUAAUUCACUGAAUUAAUCUAAUUAGACUUUAUCUCUCUUUGUCCUUUGUCUUUGGACAGAGGUGAUUAAAGUAAUACAUAUUCACUUAUAAUUUUUUAAAGCCACCAAGUUAAAAUUAAUUUUAAAAUAAUUUCUUAGCUGGAUUAUUUUUCUUAUUUGGUAACCAAACAGAAACACUAAAAGACAAUCUGUUAACUAGACAAAAACUUUUUUGAUUACAAAUAUAGUUUACCUUGAUGAUGGAGAUUAAAAUCUAAGUGGAGAUUACAGAAAUCUUGACUGCAAUUUAAUUUUGAUAUUUAAAUCCCAAGCCAUGGAUGACUUUUUUAUAUUCAGGAAAUAUGAAAAAGAGCUUGGCUCAUCUUGUUGUGCCCAAAAGUAAGAAAACAGUGGAAACAGAAUAAAACAAAACAAAAUGAUGCAGGUGAGGUAUGUCAAAUACACAUAGGAGCCAACUAAAGGAGAUCCUAAUGACUAAAGCUGGCACAAUUUGAACAGAAUAGGCAACAUUAUAUUAGGUCACAAAAUAAAUAUCCAUGAGUCUAUAGUGAUAGAAUAAUCAAAUAAAUAAAGAGAAUAAGCAAGUCUUGCCUGCUGACAAAUUAUAAAUAAAUUGAAUGUCUCUAAUAAUGCAGAUAAGCCUUCACUCAAAGAUGUGGAAGAUAAUUCCCUAUACCUCUAGUCUUUUUGCAUAAGCUGUAUACAGAGUAACUUGUUUCCACGGGUCAAUAUGGAAAAGGGGGAAAGAAGAAGUAACUUUACAAUGGAAAAUUUUAACAGGCACUGUCUCGUCAAACUACUGCAUGUCAAACUUAUUUCUGUGGUCUUUCCCCCCAGAUCCAUAGCCCCAGUGGAAUUAAAAAAAAAAAA